GAUGAACGCUAGCUACAGGCCUAACACAUGCAAGUCGAGGGGUAACGAGAGGAAAGCUUGCUUUCCUUGUCGACGACCGGCGCACGGGUGAGUAACGCGUAUCCAACCUGCCCCCAACUAAGGAAUAACCUUGCGAAAGUAAGACUAAUACCUUAUAAUUUCCUCAGAUGACAUCUGACGAGGAAUAAAGAUUUAUCGGUUGUGGAUGGGGAUGCGUCUGAUUAGCUUGUUGGCGGGGUAACGGCCCACCAAGGCAACGAUCAGUAGGGGUUCUGAGAGGAAGGUCCCCCACAUUGGAACUGAGACACGGGCCAAACUCCUACGGGAGGCAGCAGUGAGGAAUAUUGGUCAAUGGGCGGAAGCCUGAACCAGCCAAGUAGCGUGCAGGAUGACGGCCCUAUGGGUUGUAAACUGCUUUUAUACAGGAAUAAAGUUAGCCACGUGUGGUUAUUUGUAGGUACUGUAUGAAUAAGGACCGGCUAAUUCCGUGCCAGCCGCCGCCGUAA
rnacentral:rRNA from 1 species